UGCCCAGCAAUUCCUAUCCCUACUUCCUCGUGGUACCGUGGUGAAAUUUACCGAUCGUGUAUAAUUUUCGAGUGAAUGAACCAGCGAGAAAGAUGGUGGAUCCAAUCAGAUGCGUACAGGGUAGG
rnacentral:ribozyme from 1 species